rnacentral:rRNA from 1 species
UGGGGAAUCUUGGACAAUGGGCGCAAGCCUGAUCCAGCCAUGCCGCGUGCGGGAAGAAGGCCUUCGGGUUGUAAACCGCUUUUGUCAGGGAAGAAAUCCUUUGUGCUAAUACCUCGGGGGAUGACGGUACCUGAAGAAUAAGCACCGGCUCACUAUGUGCCAGCAGCCGCGGUAAUACGUAGGGUGCAAGCGUUAAUCGGAAUUACUGGGCGUAAAGCGUGCGCAGGCGGUUAUGUAAGACAGUUGUGAAAUCCACGGGCUCAACCUGAGACCUGCAUUUGUGACUGCAUUGCUGGAGUACGGCAGAGGGGGAUGGAAUUCCGCGUGUAGCAGUGAAAUGCGUAGGUAUGCGGAAGAACAACGAGGGCGAAGGCAAGCCCCUGGGCCUGUAAUGACGCUCAUGCACGAAAGCGUGGGGAGCAAACA